GACGAACGCUGGCGGCGUGCCUAAUACAUGCAAGUUGAGCGCUGAAGGUUGGUACUUGUACCAACUGGAUGAGCAGCGAACGGGUGAGUAACGCGUGGGGAAUCUGCCUUUGAGCGGGGGACAACAUUUGGAAACGAAUGCUAAUACCGCAUAAAAACUUUAAACACAAGUUUUAAGUUUGAAAGAUGCAAUUGCAUCACUCAAAGAUGAUCCCGCGUUGUAUUAGUUAGUUGGUGAGGUAAAGGCUCACCAAGGCGAUGAUACAUAGCCGGCCUGAGAGGGUGAUCGGCCACACUGGGACUGAGACACGGCCCAAACUCCUACGGGAGGCAGCAGUAGGGAAUCUUCGGCAAUGGACGAAAGUCUGACCGAGCAACGCCGCGUGAGUGAAGAAGGUUUUCGGAUCGUAAAACUCUGUUGGUAGAGAAGAACGUUGGUGAGAGUGGAAAGCUCAUCAAGUGACGGUAACUACCCAGAAAGGGACGGCUAACUACGUG
rnacentral:rRNA from 1 species